CCCCUCAAGCUGGAGCGUACAUAUCAUAUGCUUCAAGCUUGCUACAAAUGUAUUCAAUUCUAGGACCUCUAAGAGAUUUAGUUAGGACAUUUGCCAACUGAUCAUUUGAAUUGACAAAAUUGAUGACAAUACAUCUAGACUCGAUUUUCUGUCUGAUAAAGUGGCAAUCCACCUCUAUAUGUUUAGUUCUUUUAUAGAAAACUGAAUUAGAGGCGAUAUGUAGGGCAGUUUGAUUAUCACAUACAAUUUCAUUUCUUUAACCUCCCCAUACUUCAAUUCUCAAAGGAGUUGCUUCAACCAGAUAAGUUCACAUUUAGCUUCUGCACUUGACCUGGCAACUACAUCCCGUGUUUUAUUUUUUUAGGAUAUUGAAUUUUGGCCAAUCAUUAUAGAAUAUCCCGAAGUAAGUCGUCUAUCUGAUGGGAAACCUGCUCAAUCUGCAUCUGAAUAUCCAACAAUUUGUGAGUGACCUUUAUCUUCAUAUAACAAACCUUGUCUUGUAACUCGUUUGAUUACCUGAGAAUACAAAUAACUGCAUUCCAAUGGCUACUACAUGGUGCUUGGAGAAGCUGACUAACCACACUCAUAGCAAAAGAAAUGUCUGGUCAUGUGAUUGUAAGAUAGUUAAGUUUACCAACUAGUCUUCUAUAUCUUUCAAGAUUUUCUAAUGGCUCCCCCUGUCCAGGAACA
rnacentral:misc_RNA from 1 species